UGCAGUCGAGGGGNNUUUAUCUUCGGAUAGAGAGACCGGCGCACGGGUGCGUAACGCGUAUGCAAUCUACCUUUUACAGAGGGAUAGCCCAGAGAAAUUUGGAUUAAUACCUCAUAGUAUAUAGACCUGGCAUCAGGAUUAUAUUAAAGUCACAACGGUAAAAGAUGAGCAUGCGUCCCAUUAGCUAGUUGGUAAGGUAACGGCUUACCAAGGCUACGAUGGGUAGGGGUCCUGAGAGGGAGAUCCCCCACACUGGUACUGAGACACGGACCAGACUCCUACGGGAGGCAGCAGUGAGGAAUAUUGGACAAUGGGCGCAAGCCUGAUCCAGCCAUGCCGCGUGCAGGAUGACGGUCCUAUGGAUUGUAAACUGCUUUUAUACGAGAAGAAACACUGCUACGUGUAGCAGCUUGACGGUAUCGUAAGAAUAAGGAUCGGCUAACUCCGUGCCAGCAGCCGCGGUAAUACGGAGGAUCCAAGCGUUAUCCGGAAUCAUUGGGUUUAAAGGGUCCGUAGGCGGUUUAAUAAGUCAGUGGUGAAAGCCCAUCGCUCAACGGUGGAACGGCCAUUGAUACUGUUAGACUUGAAUUAUUAGGAAGUAACUAGAAUAUGUAGUGUAGCGGUGAAAUGCUUAGAGAUUACAUGGAAUACCAAUUGCGAAGGCAGGUUACUACUAAUUGAUUGACGCUGAUGGACGAAAGCGUGGGUAGCGAACAGGAUUAGAUACCCUGGUAGUCCACGCCGUAAACGAUGGAUACUAGCUGUUGGGAGCAAUUUCAGUGGCUAAGCGAAAGUGAUAAGUAUCCCACCUGGGGAGUACGUUCGCAAGAAUGAAACUCAAAGGAAUUGACGGGGGCCCGCACAAGCGGUGGAGCAUGUGGUUUAAUUCGAUGAUACGCGAGGAACCUUACCAAGGCUUAAAUGUAGAUUGACCGGUUUGGAAACAGAUCUUUCGCAAGACAAUUUACAAGGUGCUGCAUGGUUGUCGUCAGCUCGUGCCGUGAGGUGUCAGGUUAAGUCCUAUAACGAGCGCAACCCCUGUUGUUAGUUGCCAGCGAGUCAUGUCGGGAACUCUAACAAGACUGCCAGUGCAAACUGUGAGGAAGGUGGGGAUGACGUCAAAUCAUCACGGCCCUUACGCCUUGGGCUACACACGUGCUACAAUGGCCGGUACAGAGAGCAGCCACUGGGCGACCAGGAGCGAAUCUAUAAAACCGGUCACAGUUCGGAUCGGAGUCUGCAACUCGACUCCGUGAAGCNGGAAUCGCUAGUAAUCGGAUNUCAGCC
rnacentral:rRNA from 1 species